CUGUUCCUACGGGAGGCAGCAGUAGGGAAUCUUCCACAAUGGGCGAAAGCCUGAUGGAGCAACGCCGCGUGGGUGAAGAAGGUCUUCGGAUCGUAAAACCCUGUUGUUAGAGAAGAAAGUGCGUGAGAGUAACUGUUCACGUUUCGACGGUAUCUAACCAGAAAGCCAUAGCUAACUACGUGCCAGCAGCCGCGGUAAUACGUAGGUAGAAAGCGUUGUCCGGAUUUAUAGGGCGUAAAGGGAACGCAGGCGGGCUUU
rnacentral:rRNA from 1 species